rnacentral:rRNA from 1 species
UACGUAGGGUGCAAGCGUUGUCCGGAAUUAUUGGGCGUAAAGAGCUCGUAGGCGGUUCGUCGCGUCGGCUGUGAAAACCCGGAGCUCAACUCCGGGCCUGCAGUCGAUACGGGCGGACUAGAGUUCGGCAGGGGAGACUGGAAUUCCUGGUGUAGCGGUGAAAUGCGCAGAUAUCAGGAGGAACACCGGUGGCGAAGGCGGGUCUCUGGGCCGAUACUGACGCUGAGGAGCGAAAGCGUGGGGAGCGAACAGG